rnacentral:rRNA from 1 species
GAUGAACGCUGGCGGCGUGCCUAAUACAUGCAAGUCGAGCGAACAGACGAGGAGCUUGCUCCUCUGACGUUAGCGGCGGACGGGUGAGUAACACGUGGAUAACCUACCUAUAAGACUGGGAUAACUUCGGGAAACUGGAGCUAAUGCCGGAUAAUAUAUUGAACCGCAUGGUUCAAUAGUGAAAGACGGUUUUGCUGUCACUUAUAGAUGGAUCCGCGCCGCAUUAGCUAGUUGGUAAGGUAACGGCUUACCAAGGCAACGAUGCGUAGCCGACCUGAGAGGGUGAUCGGCCACACUGGAACUGAGACACGGUCCAGACUCCUACGGGAGGCAGCAGUAGGGAAUCUUCCGCAAUGGGCGAAAGCCUGACGGAGCAACGCCGCGUGAGUGAUGAAGGUCUUCGGAUCGUAAAACUCUGUUAUUAGGGAAGAACAAAUGUGUAAGUAACUAUGCACGUCUUGACGGUACCUAAUCAGAAAGCCACGGCUAACUACGUG